ensembl:lncRNA
CAACAGCUAGUGCAGCCAUUGAUAUGCCAGAGAAUGAUAGUCGAUCUUAUCUCAGAAACAUUUGUCUCUUUUACCUUAAACUGCAAGGACAGCUGCUGAUUCCUGCCUCUACUAUACAGACUAUUGUUGAGGAAAUGCAAAAUGUGCAUGAGUUAGGUCGAGCCUUUACAAUAACUAAAGUAAGUUCUUUUUUAAAAAAUGAUAUGAGCCUAUCAGAUGAAACAGUCACUAAAAUCUGUGACUGCAUUAAAGAGUCAGAUUUGUUCUCUGCCUGUCAUCAGGGACAAUUAAGAACAACAUACUCCAGAAAUCAGACAUUCACAAAAAUGUUGAAAUACACGGAACCCCAAAAAGUGACAUUGGGAAUGGAUGAAAACAUGACACAAAAAUGUGCUUACUACAUACCAGUGACAGAAACUCUGAAGAGCUUUUUACAAUCACAUUUAGGGAGGAAUACGCAGUCACAACGGUUUGGAGAUCCUGAUGCAGAGGUUUUUACGGAUUUAUAUGAUGGACAAAAUUUCAAAUGUCACCAGUUCUUUAAUGAAAACCCUGAAAGCCUCAAACUGAUUUUGUACCAAGAUUCAUUUGAAAUUGUGAAUCCCCUGGGUUCUGCUAAGAAGACACACAAAGUUCUUGCAGUCUAUCUUUCAUUAGCAAAUUUACCCAUUCAUUUGCGUUCAAAUACUGAUAAUAUGUUUUUAGUCUUGUUGUGUGUUGAGAAUGACCUUAAGCGUUUUGGAGUAGCCAAAGUUUUCUCAGAGUUGUUGGCAGAUCUGAAAUCCUUGGAGACAGAUGGAAUAAAUGUAGAUGGAGAAACAGUAAAAGGGGGUCUUUACUGCAUUGCUGGGGAUAACUUGGGUUCUCAUUGCAUAGGUGGGUUUACAGAGAACUUCAGCCGCUCUCAUUAUUUUUGCAGGUACUGUGAAAUCACAAGAAGUGAGUUUGAGGCUGAUCCGAAUGUCUGUGGUCCUCCACGCACCCCAGAGACGUAUGACGCAGCUGUUGCUGAUCUCCAGGCUGAAAACAUUCAAAGCGUCAGAGGAAUAAAGGUAAACUCUAUCUUUAAUACCCUUGAGUCUUUUCACGUAUCCCAGCCUGGUCUCCCGCCUUGUUUAGGUCAUGACCUCUUUGAAGGAGUCUUGUCAUAUGAUCUAGCACUGUACCUGAAGGACAUUAUAAAAAAGAAAAAAUGGUUCUCACACUCGCUCUUAAACAGGCGCAUCAAACAGUUUAAGUACAAAGGUUCUGAAGCACUCACAAAGCCAUGUGCUGUCAACCCUGACGGAACCAAGUUAUCAGGGCAAGCCAUUCAAAACUGGAACCUUUUGAGAUUGCUACCAGUUUUGAUUGGUGACAAAGUGCAAAACCAUGAGGAUGAAGUAUGGCAGUUAGCUCUCCAGCUAAAAGACAUUGUGGAUCUUAUUUGUGCUCAGAACAUUUCCUUGUCCCAGAUAGCAUAUCUUGACAUUUUGAUCCAAGAAUAUUUGGAGUUGAGAAAGAUGUUGUUUCCUGAAAUUCUACUAAAACCCAAGCACCACUAUUUGCGCCAUUAUUCAGCACUGCUUUUGAAAUUUGGUCCAUUGAUAAGGUUAUGGACGCUCAGGUUUGAAAGUAAACACAGCUAUUUUAAAAGAUGUGCCAGACACUUGAAAAACUUCAAAAACAUUUGCCAAACUUUGUCAGAGCGUCAUCAGAUGUAUCAGGCAUAUCUUUUAGCUGGGCAAGAAUGCAGUAAACUACUGCAAGUGAAAGAUAGCUGUGCGUUUUAUCCCAAUCUCUACAGUAACACUAUUAAACAUGCAGUCAGGGAGUUAGCCUUUUCAGAAAGCAAUACCACAGUUACCACAGACAUUCAGUACAAGGGCACUGCAUAUAAAAAAGGACAGUUUCUUGUGAACAGAAAUGAUGAGUAUAUGGAGUUUGGUGAACUUCUACUCAUCUUGAUUCAAAAUGACACAUCGGUGUAUGUUUUGAUGGAUAUCCACAAAGGCAUCUUCCUCUCAGAAUACCAUCUGUAUUCUGUGACAAAGGACAGUCUUGGGUUACAGUGUAUCAACAUUAAUGACCUGCCCGAUUUCUAUCCUUUGGUAUCAUACAUUCUUGAUG